rnacentral:rRNA from 1 species
UACAGAGGUCCCAAGCGUUGUUCGGAUUCAUUGGGCGUAAAGGGUGCGUAGGCGGCGCGGUAAGUCGGGUGUGAAAUCUCGGAGCUUAACUCCGAAACUGCAUUCGAUACUGCCGUGCUUGAGGACUGGAGAGGAGACUGGAAUUUACGGUGUAGCGGUGAAAUGCGUAGAUAUCGUAAGGAAGACCAGUGGCGAAAGCGGGUCUCUGGACAGUUCCUGACGCUGAGACACGAAGGCCAGGGGAGCAAACGGG